rnacentral:sRNA from 1 species
GAUACCAGGGGUAUAAACCAUAAAAACACGAUGUGCUCGCACAAGAGUGUUUUUAUGGUUUCAUACUCCGCCCCGAUAUGAGCAUAAAAGUGAAGCACAAGCUUCACGAUAUGCGAAUAUUGGGGCAGGAUUGUAAGAGUGCAAAGCACGAAACAGUCCGUGUA